rnacentral:rRNA from 1 species
UUGGAGGGCAAGUCUGGUGCCAGCAGCCGCGGUAAUUCCAGCUCCAAUAGCGUAUAUUAAAGUUGUUGCAGUUAAAAAGCUCGUAGUUGAACCUUGGGCCUGGCUGGCCGGUCCGCCUCACCGCGUGCACUGGUCCGGCCGGGCCUUUCCCUCUGGGGAACCGCAUGCCCUUCACUGGGUGUGUCGGGGAACCAGGACUUUUACUUUGAACAAAUUAGAUCGCUUAAAGAAGGCCUAUGCUCGAAUACAUUAGCAUGGAAUAAUAGAAUAGGA